CAUCCUCAUACCUGGGAUUUAAGCUCAUUGGAUCUGAGCAACGGCUGUAUCCAUUCAGCACUCCAGAGGGUCUUGAGAACCGCCCUUCCCUGGACUGAAUUUGGAGACUCAAGGUAAGGGAG
rnacentral:lncRNA from 1 species